rnacentral:rRNA from 1 species
UACGGGGGGGGCAAGCGUUGUUCGGAAUUACUGGGCGUAAAGGGCGCGUAGGCGGGUGGACAAGUCUCUCGUGAAAGCCCACGGCUCAACCGUGGAAUUGCGGGAGGUACUGUCUGUCUUGAGUCCGGGAGAGGAGGGUGGAAUUCCCAGUGUAGCGGUGAAAUGCGUAGAUAUUGGGAGGAACACCGGUGGCGAAGGCGGCUCUCGGGACCGGUACUGACCAUGAGGCGCGAAAGCUAGGGGAGCAAACGGG